AAAUUUUUCUCAAGCCCACAACCGUGCGACACUACCUUUCUUUCCCUCCUAUUUCCUUUCUCCUUCCAAUCUUAAGCCAAACAACUAUUAUUUCUUCUUCUCAAGAGGAAAAUAGCAAGCCAAGGGAUUUAUGUGCUCUCUUGUUCCCUACACCGAACCCACCUCUUCUCUUCUCCAUUUUCAUGUUUUGGGAAGGAUUCACCAAAGGACCUAUUGACGUUGGAAGUACUGAGGCGUAUUGAGGUAAGUAGCUAUGACCAUGCUCUUACACAAAGUUCUCUCGUGAAAGAAUGUCUCUCUCUCUCU